rnacentral:lncRNA from 1 species
UGUUAUGCGGUGAUAGGAUUGUCCUGGAGGGGAAGAAAGAGAGCAGAGAAUAUUAUUACCUAGCAGGGAGCCCAGUGCGAGGUGGAGCUUCGGAAGCCAGGUGGAGCUCAGAGUGAGGUGGAGCUCCAGGAGGCGGAUCAGACACGAAACAGGAGACUCGGGAGGAUGAGAGGCGACAUCUCAAGGUGAGAUUCCUAUUACCGCAGGACGAUGCCCCGAGCAGGUCUCAGGUCAGGAGGAGCACAGCAUAUGAUGGAGAUGGGAUCGAGCAGCCUGGUUCGACUCCCAUGUUUGCCCAUC